rnacentral:rRNA from 1 species
CGUCCGAGUUGUAGUCUGGAGAAGUGCUUUCCGCGCUGGACCGUGUAUAAGUCCCUUGGAACAGGGCGUCGUAGAGGGUGAGAAUCCCGUCUUUGACACGGACUACCAGUGCUUUGUGAUGCGCUCUCAAAGAGUCGAGUUGUUUGGGAAUGCAGCUCAAAAUGGGUGGUGAAUUCCAUCUAAAGCUAAAUAUUGGCGAGAGACCGAUAGCGAACAAGUACCGUGAGGGAAAGAUGAAAAGCACUUUGGAAAGAGAGUUAAACAGUACGUGAAAUUGCUGAAAGGGAAACGCUUGAAGUCAGUCGCGUCGGCCGGAACUCAGCCUUGCUUUUGCUUGGUGCACUUUCCGGUUGACGGGCCAGCAUCGAUUUUGACCGUCGGAUAAGGGCUAGAGUAAUGUGGCACCUCCGGGUGUGUUAUAGACUCUAGUCGCACACGGCGGUUGGGAUCGAGGAACGCAGCGCGCCGCAAGGCAGGGGUUCGCCCACUUUCGCGCUUAGGAUGCUGGCAUAAUGGCUUUAAACGACCCGUCUUGAAACACGGACCAAGGAGUCUAACAUACCUGCGAGUGUUUGGGUGGAAAACCCGAGCGCGUAAUGAAAGUGAAAGUUGAGACCUCUGUCGUGGAGGGCAUCGACGCCCGGACCUGACGUUCUCUGACGGAUCCGCGGUAGAGCAUGUAUGUUGGGACCCGAAAGAUGGUGAACUAUGCCUGAAUAGGGUGAAGCCAGAGGAAACUCUGGUGGAGGCUCGUAGCGAUUCUGACGUGCAAAUCGAUCGUCAAAUUUGGGUAUAGGGGCGAAAGAC